AAAUAUUUCUUGAGAAACUCUCCUUGCAGCUGGUCCCAAGUUGAUAUAGUCAUGGAAUCCAAAGUAUGUAGCCAGUAUUUGGCUUUGCCCUUAAGUGAGAAAGAAAAUAAUUUUAACCUAAGAGCAUCAUCGGAGAAGUUGUGAAUUUUGACAGUUGAGCAUAUCUCAAAAAAUUCUUCAAGAUGUUUAUAAGGGUCCUCGUUACUAAGUCCAUAAAAUGAAGGUAACAUUUGGAUUAUACUGGACUUAAUUUCAUAUUGAGUGGCCUCCACAGGGGGCACUUGAAUACAAGGAGAGUAGGUAUAUGUGGAAGGAGUAAAGUACUCCUUCAAUUACUUGGGUGAAUCAUUCUCCUGAUUUCGGUCCAUAUUUUUACAUCUAUUGACUCUCAAGGUUCUUUCUAUUUCUGGAUCAAAAGGUUGGAUUUCUGGUCAUAACGAUCUACGGCCAAGCAUACACCUUACAAUUAUACUUUAGAGCAAACACAAAAAAUUUGAGUUUUUAUAAUAUAUAUAUUUUUAUAAUAAAGUGAGAAAAGAAUGAAGAAAAUCUAAAGAGAAGAACCUAAGAAUCUUAAAUCUAUGAAAAGGGAGAAAUUAGUUAAUGUUUAGAUGUUAAUUGCAAUCAACUUAAACAAUCAUAGACUCUCUAUCCUAAGGUUAACUUAGAUCUAGACAGCUCCUAACUUCCAAGACCGUCUUUGAGCACUCCAAGCUCAAGACUGACUAACUGACUCGGCCAGGUAAGCGUAAGAUGUGGGAGGUUCCCUGCUCGUUGCUUUUCUUAGACACCAACUGAGUUGGCCAGGUCAGUCAACGGAACCAAUUGAAAAC
rnacentral:lncRNA from 1 species